AUACGGAGGGGGCUAGCGUUGUUCGGAAUUACUGGGCGUAAAGCGCGCGUAGGCGGUUUAUCCAGUCAGGCGUGAAAGCCCUGGGCUCAACCCAGGAACUGCGUUUGAUACUGAUAGACUAGAGGCCGGGAGAGGGUAGUGGAAUUCCCAGUGUAGAGGUGAAAUGCGUAGAUAUUGGGAAGAACACCGGUGGCGAAGGCGGCUACCUGGACCGGACCUGACGCUGAGGUGCGAAAGCGUGGGGAGCAAACAGGAUUAGAAACCCGAGUAGUCC
rnacentral:rRNA from 1 species